CGUAGGGUGCGAGCGUUAAUCGGAAUUACUGGGCGUAAAGCGUGCGCAGGCGGUUUAGUAAGACAGGCGUGAAAUCCCCGGGCUCAACCUGGGAACUGCGCUUGUGACUGCUAAGCUAGAGUACGGCAGAGGGGGGUGGAAUUCCACGUGUAGCAGUGAAAUGCGUAGAGAUGUGGAGGAACACCAAUGGCGAAGGCAGCCCCCUGGGUCGAUACUGACGCUCAUGCACGAAAGCGUGGGUAGCAAACAGGAUUAGAUACCCUGGUAGUCCACGCCCUAAACGAUGUCAACUAGGUGUUGGGUGGGUAAAACCAUUUAGUACCCGGAGCUAACGCGUUGAAGUUGACCGCUGGGGAGUACGGCCGCAAGGUU
rnacentral:rRNA from 1 species